rnacentral:rRNA from 1 species
AACGAACGCUGGCGGCAGGCUUAACACAUGCAAGUCGAACGCCCCGCAAGGGGAGUGGCAGACGGGUGAGUAACGCGUGGGAAUCUACCCAGUUCUACGGAAUAACCCAGGGAAACUUGGACUAAUACCGUAUACGCCCUACGGGGGAAAGAUUUAUCGGAAUUGGAUGAGCCCGCGUUGGAUUAGCUAGUUGGUGGGGUAACGGCCUACCAAGGCGACGAUCCAUAGCUGGUCUGAGAGGAUGAUCAGCCACACUGGGACUGAGACACGGCCCAGACUCCUACGGGAGGCAGCAGUGGGGAAUAUUGGACAAUGGGCGCAAGCCUGAUCCAGCCAUGCCGCGUGAGUGAUGAAGGCCUUAGGGUUGUAAAGCUCUUUCAGUGGGGAAGAUAAUGACGGUACCCACAGAAGAAGCCCCGGCUAACUUCGUGCCAGCCGCCGCCGUAAGAC